CGCAGUAGGAUAGGCGAAGCGUGCGAUUGGAUUGCACGUCUAAGCAGUAAGGCUGAGUAUUAGGCAAAUCCGGUACUCGUUAAGGCUGAGCUGUGAUGGGGAGGAGACAUUGUGUCUUCGAGUCGUUGAUUUCACACUGCCGAGAAAAGCCUCUAGAUAGAAAAUAGGUGCCCGUACCGCAAACCGACACAGGUAGUCAAGAUGAGAAUUCUAAGGUGAGCGAGCGAACUCUCGUUAAGGAACUCGGCAAAAUGACCCCGUAACUUCGGGAGAAGGGGUGCUCUUUAGGGUUAACGCCCAGAAGAGCCGCAGUGAAUAGGCCCAAGCGACUGUUUAUCAAAAACACAGGUCUCUGCUAAACCGUAAGGUGAUGUAUAGGGGCUGACGCCUGCCCGGUGCUGGAAGGUUAAGAGGAGUGGUUAGCUUCUGCGAAGCUACGAAUCGAAGCCCCAGUAAACGGCGGCCGUAACUAUAACGGUCCUAAGGUAGCGAAAUUCCUUGUCGGGUAAGUUCCGACCCGCACGAAAGGCGUAACGAUUUGGGCACUGUCUCAACGAGAGACUCGGUGAAAUCAUAGUACCUGUGAAGAUGCAGGUUACCCGCGACAGGACGGAAAGACCCCGUGGAGCUUUACUGUAGCCUGAUAUUGAAAUUCGGCACAGCUUGUACAGGAUAGGUAGGAGCCUUUGAAACGUGAGCGCUAGCUUACGUGGAGGCGCUGGUGGGAUACUACCCUAGCUGUGUUGGCUUUCUAACCCGCACCACUUAUCGUGGUGGGAGACAGUGUCAGGCGGGCAGUUUGACUGGGGCGGUCGCCUCCUAAAAGGUAACGGAGGCGCUCAAAGGUUCCCUCAGAAUGGUUGGAAAUCAUUCAUAGAGUGUAAAGGCAUAAGGGAGCUUGACUGCGAGACCUACAAGUCGAGCAGGGUCGAAAGACGGACUUAGUGAUCCGGUGGUUCCGCAUGGAAGGGCCAUCGCUCAACGGAUAAAAGCUACCCCGGGGAUAACAGGCUUAUCUCCCCCAAGAGUUCACAUCGACGGGGAGGUUUGGCACCUCGAUGUCGGCUCAUCGCAUCCUGGGGCUGUAGUCGGUCCCAAGGGUUGGGCUGUUCGCCCAUUAAAGCGGUACGCGAGCUGGGUUCAGAACGUCGUGAGACAGUUCGGUCCCUAUCCGUCGUGGGCGUAGGAAAUUUGAGAGGAGCUGUCCUUAGUACGAGAGGACCGGGAUGGACAUACCUCUGGUGUACCAGUUGUCGUGCCAACGGCAUAGCUGGGUAGCUAUGUGUGGACGGGAUAAGUGCUGAAAGCAUCUAAGCAUGAAGCCCCCCUUAAGAUGAGAUUUCCCAACUUCGGUUAUAAGAUCCCUCAAAGAUGAUGAGGUUAAUAGGUUCGAGGUGGAAGCAUGGUG
rnacentral:rRNA from 1 species